rnacentral:rRNA from 1 species
AGAGUUUGAUCCUGGCUCAGAUUGAACGCUGGCGGCAUGCCUUACACAUGCAAGUCGAACGGUAACGCGGGGCAGCCUGUCGACGAGUGGCGAACGGGUGAGUAAUGCAUCGGAACGCGCCCAGUAGUGCGGGAUAGCCCGGGGAAAGCCGGAUUAAUACCGCAUACGACCUACGGGUGAAAGGGGGGGAUCGCAAGACCUCUCGCUAUUGGAGCGGCCGAUGUCAGAUUAUGUAGUUGGGGGGGUAAAGGCCUACCAAGCCGACGAUCUGUAGCUGGUCUGAGAGGACGACCAGCCACACUGGGACUGACACACGGCCCAGACUCCUACGGGAGGCAGCAGUGGGGAAUUUUGGACGAUGGGCGCAAGCCUGAUCCAUCCAUGCCGCGUGCGGGAAGAAGGCCUUCGGGUUGUAAACCGCUUUUGUCAGGGAAGAAACACGCUGAGCUAAUACCUCGGCGUAAUGACGGUACCUGAAGAAUAAGCACCGGCUAACUACGUGCCAGCAGCCGCGGUAAUACGUACGGUGCAAGCGUUAAUCGGAAUUACUGGGCGUAAAGCGUGCGCAGGCGGUGAAGCUAGACAGAUGUGAAAUCCCCGGGCUUAACCUGGGAACUGCAUUUGUGACUGCAUUGCUGGAGUGCAGUACAGGAGGAUGGAAUUCCGCGUGUAGCAAUGAAAUGCAUAUAUAUGCGGAGGAACACCGAUGGGGAAUGCAAUCCCCUGGGCCUGCCCUGACGCUCAUGCACCAAAGCGUGGGGAGCACACAGGAUUAGAUACCCCUGUAGUCCACUCGC